AGGAUUAUAGUUUAUUAAAAUGUAGCCCUGAAGAGGCUAAGUAUUAUUCCUC
rnacentral:tRNA from 1 species